UUUCAGUCACAGCGUCAUUUUCAUUUCAACGAACUACAUUGCAGUGUGGUGAAGUCAUUUGGUGGUACCUUUACAUGUAAGUAUUAUCUACAACUAUAAGCGGAUCUAUACGAACAUCUGCAAUACAACAUGGGCAACAGCACGUCAUCGUCAGCAUCAGCGUCAGUGAGCAGCGACGGCACUAGCCACGUCUCCGCCAACGCCACGGGGUCAGGCAAGGCGUCGGCGUGCACGACGUGUAAAACAUCUGACGGCCAACCGAAGACGAGCAGCGUGUCUGCAGGGAAGUAGCGGAUGUGACAUGGGUUCCAGAUGUAAUGUGAAGCAAUUUGCAAAGAACAUUUUCCCACAUCAUGUCUGCUGAAGCCUGUCUGUACCAUAGAACGUUAACAUUAUUGACACGUCAUUUUACUAUCUCUUACCUUAUCUGAACUGUCGCCAUAUAUAGCACAUUACUGUAAAGUGUACAAUAAACCACUGCGCCACCGAGGCCGGUCCUCCCCUAUCUCUUACCUUAUCUGAACUCGCCAUAUAUAUCACAUUACUGUAAAGUGUACAAUAAACCACUGCGCCACCGAGGCCGGUCCUCCCCUAUCUCUUACCUUAUCUGAACUGUCGCCAUAUAUAUCACAUUACCGUAAAGUGUACAAUAAACCACUGCACCACCGAGGCCGGUCCUCCCCUAUCUCUUACCUUAUCUGAACUCGCCAUAUAUAUCACAUUACUGUAAAGUGUACAAUAAACCACUGCGCCACCGAGGCCGGUCCUCCCCUAUCUCUUACCUUAUCUGAACUGUCGCCAUAUAUAUAUCACAUUACCGUAAAGUGUACAAUAAACCACUGCGCCACCGAGGCCGGUCCUCCCCUAUAUCUUACCUUAACUGAACUGUCGCCAUAUAUAUCACAUUACCGUAAAGUGUACAAUAAAAACAAAUCAACAUUU
rnacentral:lncRNA from 1 species